rnacentral:rRNA from 1 species
UGACCUAAACCCUCACCAGAGUAACAAUUGGAGGGCAAGUCUGGUGCCAGCAGCCGCGGUAAUUCCAGCUCCAAUAGCGUAUAUUAAACUUGUUGCAGUUAAAAAGCUCGUAGUUGAAUUUUUGCGUGGUGUUAAUAUUGACUGAUGUCGAGAUUGCACUUCGCUUUUGGGAUUUUUCCCUUUUUACUUUGAGAAAAUUAGAGUGUUUCAAGCAGACUUUUGUCUUGAAUACUUCAGCAUGGAAUAAUAGAGUAGGACUUUGGUUCUAUUUUGUUGGUUUGUGAACCUUAGUAAUGGUUAAUAGGAACGGUUGGGGGCAUUCGUAUUUAACUGUCAGAGGUGAAAUUCUUAGAUUUGUUAAAGACGAACUACUGCGAAAGCAUUUGCCAAGGACGUUUUCAUUAAUCAAGAACGAAAGUUAGGGGAUCGAAGACGAUCAGAUACCGUCGUAGUCCUAACCAUAAACUA